rnacentral:rRNA from 1 species
UACAGAGGGUGCGAGCGUUAAUCGGAAUUACUGGGCGUAAAGCGCACGUAGGUGGCGACGUAAGUCGGGUGUGAAAGCCCCGGGCUCAACCUGGGAAUUGCAUUCGAGACUGCAUUGCUGGAGUACGGAAGAGGAGGGCGGAAUUCCCGGUGUAGCGGUGAAAUGCGUAGAGAUCGGGAGGAAGGCCGGUGGCGAAGGCGGCGCUCUGGAACAUUUCUGACGCUGAGGCUCGAAAGCGUGGGGGAGCAAACAGG